rnacentral:rRNA from 2 species
AUCGCAAGACCUCGCGCGAUUGGAGCGGCCGAUAUCAGAUUAGGUAGUUGGUGGGGUAAAGGCCCACCAAGCCAACGAUCUGUAGCUGGUCUGAGAGGACGACCAGCCACACUGGAACUGAGACACGGUCCAGACUCCUACGGGAGGCAGCAGUGGGGAAUUUUGGACAAUGGGCGCAAGCCUGAUCCAGCAAUGCCGCGUGCAGGAUGAAGGCCUUCGGGUUGUAAACUGCUUUUGUACGGAACGAAAAGGCUCUGGUUAAUACCUGGGGCUCAUGACGGUACCGUAAGAAUAAGCACCGGCUAACUACG